UCACCCUCGUCUUUUCUCUCUCUUCCAACCAGUCGAAAUCUAUGCUCCCCUCUUGUUUUGGCUACCACCGACUCUGAUUUCUCCAUAGUAACUGUAAAUGGAUUCAAACCUAUUAGGAAGAAUAAAUAGAAUUGUGAUUGAUGCCGUUGUGCUGCCUUGGAUCGAAUUAAACCUGCGUUUUAGAUCUGUGUAGAAAAAACCUCACAAGAAGAUGAAAAAAAUCGUUGUUGACAGCUAGGUUUUAAAAAAAGGAUGAUGAAGAUCUGGGAUUGAACGAUGAUGAUGAUACGAAGAUUGUUGAAGGCGGCUGUAGUUAGGGUUUCAGAGAAAGGGAGU
rnacentral:lncRNA from 1 species